UGACUGCGUACGCACGUAGAAAUUCUAAUUCUAAAUCGUGAACAUCUCUACCGACGAGAACCACGCUGUGCAAUGGAGGACCUAUAUCAUGCUCAGCUAACUCUUGCAAUGUGCCUGCAAAUAUAACUUGAUCAUCGGAACCCAUUCUUCCAACAGCCACACAUAAAGAGUCUGGUGUGCAUACUAAGGGUGGUUAACAAUUAAUAGAAAAACAUUUUAAAAUGAACGUACUAUUUUCUUGACGAUCCUCUUCGACUUCCAACAUCUGCUGAGCAGCCAAACUAGCAGACAUAUAGCGAGGAGGUUCGUAUACUUUCCUGCCUCGAGCAAGAUUUUCCCAGCUUUGCUCCUUUACCUUGAUAUCUUUUAUUGUCAGAACACCAACUACUAUAAUCUAUUAACUUACCCAGCAAAACUAAGGUAUGAAGUCCCAAACUAACGUUCUCUUUAAUGUGGUCAUAGAAACUUUGAGGACGGUAAUUGUUUUCGAAGAAGACAAGACUGACUGUUUGACCAAACUUGUAGAGUUGUAAACCACAUGCACCAAUAGCGUUCAUAAUGGAGGCAUUGUGUAUCAUGCGAACAGGAAUCUUAAGCUCACGAGCUCUUAU